AGGCCACUGCCAUUGGGAUCCGACUAAGCCAUGCGAGUCGAGAGGGUUCGGCCCUCGGCAGACUGCUCAGUAACACGUGGAUAACCUAACCUUAGGUGGAAGAUAACCUCGGGAAACUGAGAAUAAUAUUCCAUAGAUCUAGGAUGCUGGAAUGCAUCUAGAUUGAAAGUUCCGACGCCUAAGGAUGGGUCUGCGGACUAUCGGGUUGUAGUCAGGGUAAAGACCUGACUAGCCUACGACGGAUAUGGGUUGUGAGAGCAAUAGCCCAGAGACGAUAUCUGAGACACGAUAUCGGGCCCUACGGGGCGCAGCAGGCGCGAAAUCUUCACAAUGUGCGAAAGCACGAUGAGGGGAUCCCAAGUGCUGGCACGUAAGUGUCAGCUGUUUCUUAGUCUAAAAAACUGAGAGAGUAAGGGCUGGGUAAGACGGGUGCCAGCCGCCGCGGUAAUACCUGCAGCUCAAGUGGUGGCCGCUAUUAUUGGGCCUAAAACGUCCGUAGCCUGUUUAGUAAAUGCUUGGGUAAAUUGUGUAGCUUAACUAUACGAAUACCGGGUAGACUGCUAAACUUGGGACCGGGAGAGGCUAGAGGUACUCCUGGGGUAGAGGUGAAAUUCUGUAAUCCUAGGGGGACCACCAGUGGCGAAGGCGUCUAGCUAGAACGGGUCUGACGGUGAGGGACGAAGCCCUGGGGCGCAAACCGGAUUAGAUACCCGGGUAGUCCAGGGUGUAAACGCUGCUUGCUUGAUGUUAGUUGGGCUCCGAGCCCAACUAGUGUCGGAGAGAAGUUGUUAAGCGAGCUGCCUGGGAAGUACGGUCGCAAGGCUAAAACUUAAAGGAAUUGGCGGGGGAGCACCACAAGGGGUGAAGCCUGCGGUUCAAUUGGACUCAACGCCGGGAAACUUA
rnacentral:rRNA from 1 species